AUUGAACGCUGGCGGCAGGCCUAACACAUGCAAGUCGAGCGGAUGAAGGGAGCUUGCUCCUGGAUUCAGCGGCGGACGGGUGAGUAAUGCCUAGGAAUCUGCCUGGUAGUGGGGGAUAACGUCCGGAAACGGACGCUAAUACCGCAUACGUCCUGAGGGAGAAAGUGGGGGAUCUUCGGACCUCACGCUAUCAGAUGAGCCUAGGUCGGAUUAGCUAGUUAGUGGGGUAAAGGCCUACCAAGGCGACGAUCCGUAACUGGUCUGAGAGGAUGAUCAGUCACACUGGAACUGAGACACGGUCCAGACUCCUACGGGAGGCAGCAGUGGGGAAUAUUGGACAAUGGGCGAAAGCCUGAUCCAGCCAUGCCGCGUGUGUGAAGAAGGUCUUCGGAUUGUAAAGCACUUUAAGUUGGGAGGAAGGGCAGUAAGUUAAUACCUUGCUGUUUUGACGUUACCAACAGAAUAAGCACCGGCUAACUUCGUG
rnacentral:rRNA from 1 species